rnacentral:rRNA from 1 species
UACGAAGGGUGCUAGCGUUGUUCGGAAUCACUGGGCGUAAAGCGCGCGUAGGCGGUGUAGCAAGUCAGGGGUGAAAUCCCGGAGCUCAACUCCGGAAUUGCCUUUGAAACUGCGACGCUGGAGUGUCGGAGGGGAUAGCGGAAUUCCUAAUGUAGCGGUGAAAUGCGUAGAUAUUAGGAGGAACACCGGUUGCGAAGGCGGCUAUCUGGACGACAACUGACGCUGAGGCGCGAAAGCGUGGGGAUCAAACAGG